rnacentral:rRNA from 1 species
CUGACGAGUGGCGGACGGGUGAGUAAUGCUUGGGAACUUGCCCUAACGUGGGGGACAACAGUUGGAAACGACUGCUAAUACCGCAUAAUGUCUUCGGACCAAAGGUGGCCUCUAUUUAUAAGCUAUCGCGUUAGGAUGGGCCCAAGUGGGAUUAGCUAGUUGGUAAGGUAAUGGCUUACCAAGGCGACGAUCCCUAGCUGGUCUUAGAGGAUGACCAGCCACACUGGAACUGAGACACGGUCCAGACUCC